GUGGUUAGAGAAUCCGACUAGGAACCAUGAGGUUGCAGAGGUUGUGGGUUCGAACCCUGGCCUUGCUCAGAGGGUUAAGGAUCCGUUGUUGCCGUGUGCUGUGGUGUAGUUUGCAGACGCGGCUCGGAUCCUGAGGUGCUAUGGCUCUGGCAUGGGUCGGUGGCUACAGUUCCAAUAGACCCCUAGCCUGGGAACUCCAUAUGCCACAGGUGUGGCCCUAGAAAAGACAAAAAAAAAAAAAUCCUUCUAGCAUUUUUGCUAAUCUUUCUCAUGCUAUCAAUAUCAUAUAAAGAUAAUGAUUAACAGGAGUUUAGAGUGUUAAAGAGAAGAAGGUCAAAAGCAAAGUUGGGUGAUACCUCCACUUAAAGGACCAGCAGGAGGAAGAGAAGCCAGCAAACGGGUGGGUGGCGUGACCUGAGAAGGGGCGGGGACCCCGCCGGCUCAGUGCUGCCUCCUAAGCCAUGGAAGGAGAGAGGUCCAAAGAAGAGUUUGUUUUUAAAACUGUAAGGAUACCUUCGUCUUGGUCCUCACUGAGAGGAGAAAUUGCUGCUAUCUUUGAAGAACUAUCAUUCCAAAGAAAAUCUGGAGUUAGAAAAUUGAAGACCUAAAAUCCAGAAGAAACAUAAAAAUC
rnacentral:lncRNA from 1 species